UACGGGGAGAAAGCAGGGGGACCUUCGGGCUUUGCGCUAUCAGAUGAGCCUAGGUCGGAUUAGCUAGUUGGUGAGGUAAUGGGCUCACCAAGGCGACGAUCCGUAACUGGUCUGAGAGGAUGAUCAGUCACACUGGAAACUGAGACACGGGUCCAGGACUCCUACGGGAGGCAGCAUGGGGGAAGUAUUGGACAAUUGGGCGAAAAGCCUCGAUCCAGCCAUGUCCCGCGUGUGUGAAGAAGGUCUUCGGAUUGUAAAGCACUUUAAGUUGGGAGGAAGGGUUGUAGAUUAAUACUCUGCAAUUUUGACGUUACCGACAGAAUAAGCACCGGCUAACUCUGUGCCA
rnacentral:rRNA from 1 species